UGCCCAAAGCUUUUAGAAUCACACAGCAGU
rnacentral:piRNA from 1 species